UAACACGAACCGUGCGAACGUUAUUCGGAAUCACUGGGCUUAAAGGGUACGUAGGCGGUCUUGCAAGUGGGGUGUGAAAUCCCUCGGCUCAACCGAGGAACUGCACUCCAAACUGCAAGACUUGAGGGAGACAGAGGUGAGCGGAACUGAUGGUGGAGCGGUGAAAUGCGUUGAGAUCAUCAGGAACACCAGAGGCGAAGGCGGCUCACUGGGUCUCUUCUGACGCUGAGGUACGAAAGCUAGGGUAGCGAACGGGAUUAGAUACCCCGGUAGUCCUAGCUGUAAACGAUGAGCACUGGGUCGAGGAACCUUCCACAGUUUCUCGGCCGUAGCGAAAGUGUUAAGUGCUCCGCCUGGGGAGUAUGGUCGCAAGGCUG
rnacentral:rRNA from 1 species